CUCUUAGUUUUGGAGUGCGUGUCAGAAGUGCAUUUACAUAGGUAUUUUCCCGUUUAGCAGUAUUUGUAAAUGCACUAUCUGGUACGACAUUCCAGAAUCAACAAUCAA
rnacentral:pre_miRNA from 14 species